UACGUAGGGUGCUAGCGUUGUUCGGAAUUAUUGGGCGUAAAGCGCGUGUAGGUGGCUUGUUAAGUCGGGUGUGAAAGCCCUGGGCUCAACCCAGGACGUGCAUCCGAAACUAGCUCGCUAGAGGACAGCAGAGGGAGGUGGAAUUCCUAGUGUAGAGGUGAAAUUCGUAGAUAUUAGGAGGAAUACCGGUGGCGAAGGCGGCCUCCUGGACUGUUCCUGACACUGAGACGCGAAAGCGUGGGUAGCAAACAGG
rnacentral:misc_RNA from 1 species